GACUGCCUCUGUGGAACCAGGCAGGGUCUCUGUCUCAGACACGGCUCUGCCCACGAGCCUGGAGAAGCCAGCCCAGUUGUAGCGCGAUGUCUGAGACCUGAAAGAUCACCGUGCAAAGGACGGAUAAUACCCAGUGCUGGUGAGGAUACGAAGCGACUGGUGCUCAGACUGUGGGUGGGAGGACAGACGUGUAACUAACGUGAAGGUUUGCCACAGCUUGAUUCAUAACAACUCAAAACUAGAUACAACCGGAAGAAUUGUCCUCAGCAGUAGAAUGGGUCAGAGGUUGUGGAGGGCCGUGAAGACCAUCCCACCACCAGGACUGAGAAGAGAUUAUGGGUACCCAUGACACGGAGGAGUCAUGCAGACGUCAUGUGGAACACAAAAAAUCAGAACCAAAAGGCACAUCAGUCUUUCUCUGAAGACAUUGAUUUUCUAAGCCACUCAGUCCUUGACCUCUGGGCAGAUCGAUAAGCAGAAACACCC